rnacentral:rRNA from 1 species
UACGAAGGGGGCUAGCGUUGCUCGGAAUUACUGGGCGUAAAGGGCGCGUAGGCGGACAGUUUAGUCAGAGGUGAAAGCCCAGGGCUCAACCUUGGAAUUGCCUUUGAUACUGGCUGUCUUGAGUUCGGGAGAGGUGAGUGGAAUGCCGAGUGUAGAGGUGAAAUUCGUAGAUAUUCGGCGGAACACCAGUGGCGAAGGCGACUCACUGGCCCGAUACUGACGCUGAGGCGCGAAAGCGUGGGGAGCAGACAGG